rnacentral:rRNA from 1 species
GACGAACGCUGGCGGUGUGCUUAACACAUGCAAGUCGAACGGAAAGGCCCUGCUUUUGUGGGGUGCUCGAGUGGCGAACGGGUGAGUAACACGUGUGUAACCUGCCCUUGACUUUGGGAUAACUUCAGGAAACUGGGCCUAAUACCGUAUAGGAGCUCCUGCUGCAUUGUGUGGGUUGGAAAGUUUCGGCGGUUGGGGAUGGACUCGCGGCUUAUCGACUUGUUGGUGGGGUAGUGGCUUACCAAUGCCUUGACGGGUAGCCGGCCUGAGAGGGUGACCGGCCACAUGGGAACUGAGAUACGGCCCAGACGCGUACGGAAGGCAACAGUGGGGAAUAUUGCACAAUGGGCGGAAGCCUGAGGCAGCAACGCCGCGUGCGGGAUGACGGCCUUCGGGUUGUAAACCGCUUUCGCCUGUGACGAAGCGUGAGUGACGGUAAUGGGUAAAGAAGCACCGGCUAGCUACGUG